AUUGAACGCUGGCGGGAUGCUUUACACAUGCAAGUCGAACGGCAGCGCGGGCUUCGGCCUGGCGGCGAGUGGCGAACGGGUGAGUAAUGCAUCGGAACGUGCCCAGUAGUGGGGGAUAGCCCGGCGAAAGCCGGAUUAAUACCGCAUACGACCUGAGGGUGAAAGCGGGGGACCGAAAGGCCUCGCGCUAUUGGAGCGGCCGAUGUCGGAUUAGCUAGUUGGUGGGGUAAAGGCUUACCAAGGCGACGAUCCGUAGCUGGUCUGAGAGGACGACCAGCCACACUGGGACUGAGACACGGCCCAGACUCCUACGGGAGGCAGCAGUGGGGAAUUUUGGACAAUGGGGGCAACCCUGAUCCAGCCAUGCCGCGUGCGGGAAGAAGGCCUUCGGGUUGUAAACCGCUUUUGUUCGGGAAGAAAUCCUCUGGGCUAAUACCCCGGGGGGAUGACGGUACCGGAAGAAUAAGCACCGGCUAACUACGUG
rnacentral:rRNA from 1 species